GGGCCACACCAUUCGCCAUUACAAGAUGGCGCCGAGGAGUGUGGUAAACAGCUCAUUUUGGACCAUGUCCCAGCAUGAGUCUGCCCAGCAACAGCAAUCAACCUAUCCCGGCUUGACUAGCUUAUCUAUAGUAGAAACAUCCUGUCCUGCCUAUAUAAGCCGUUCCCUUUCCUUCUCCCUCGCCUCUCAUCUUCAACUCUCCAUUAAUCCAUCGGUACUCCAAUAAAAGUGUGAUAAGAGAAGAAUCCUCGUGUCGGUGGUCUUCUUCCCUGCCGGUCAGGGGGGCUCGCCACAGCUGGUGCCGAAACCCGGGAAGUAGGUCCAGUGGACACGUCUGAGGGGCCCAAGAAGGAUUCAGAACUCUACACAUGGAGUGAGUAAGUCUCCCCAAGACCGAGCUGAUCCGAUCUGGGUUCCAGAGAGGCUGACUCGCCGAGUUGAAAGCCCAAGAGAGGAGGAUUCGAAUCCCAAUGACAAAGAUGUGGAGAAGAAUAAUGAUGCUGUGGUGGCUGACUCACCUGACGAUCGCCAGUGAAAGUUAUUUUUGGUCUUUUUCUCGCACGUGGCCAAUACCAGUGCCUGUGCAUAAUGAAUCCAAUGUUUUUCCUCAAUUUUACUCCACCCGUUGCCAUUACGGGGUACCCUGUAAAUCUAAAGAUCAGAUCGAUCUGAAAAUGCAAGUUUUUAACCAGACUCGAGUUCCUUUGGCAGGAACACUUUGUUUUUACUGUCUGCCGCGGGCUGGUAUUACUGCUAUAGUUGGUCUGUAAGCUCAGAACCCAAAGCAAAUGAGAUAAAGUGGUCAUUGCGCAGGCACUUGCGGCUCUGGAGAUUGGAACCUCCGCAGAAGUAUGGCUGCCUAUCCUGAGGCAAUAGAAAGCCGGUCCAAACAGCUCUUGCACGCCUGGAGUUUAGCUCAUUGCACAUGGCAGAGUGUUUGGACUAGCGCCUGGGGAAGGUUGUUGAACGAGGUAUCGCAUGGAGGUUAAAUUACCUCCAGGAGGCAUAUCGUCCAGCAUAGGGGUUACCUGCCCAAGUCUCCCCUCUCCCAACAAAACGGCAGAGGACAGGUCGAGGAUACCCCGGAUGUGGCAAGGAGUCUAGGGGAUAUCCCCGUACAUGGUCUAACUUGAUUUAAUUACCAACAGGGAGGGACGAUCUCUGUCUCCACCUUCUAACCAGGUUACCUGUAAGCCCUCAAAUGGCGCCUACUUCCUGUUUUUGUUGAGCCAUAUACAGGCUGAGUGCGCAUGCACGAACGGAGCUUCCUACCACUGAGUCUCUGCCUAUGAGAUGAUGAGUCACAGCCAACCAGGGUAUGCCACGUCCAAGGCAGGAGAAUUUUUGUUCUGGCCUUCUGGCCUAGUACCUUGUUCAAACAAAAGAAAAGGGGGAAGUGUGGGGGGCCACACCAUUCGCCAUUACAAGAUGGCGCCGAGGAGUGUGGUAAACAGCUCAUUUUGGACCAUGUCCCAGCAUGAGUCUGCCCAGCAACAGCAAUCAACCUAUCCCGGCUUGACUAGCUUAUCUAUAGUAGAAACAUCCUGUCCUGCCUAUAUAAGCCGUUCCCUUUCCUUCUCCCUCGCCUCUCAUCUUCAACUCUCCAUUAAUCCAUCGGUACUCCAAUAAAAGUGUGAUAAGAGAAGAA